AGGGGUGGUAGCACGUAUACACAGAGAUAGAAUAGAGAGCGAGAGGAGGAGGAGGAGGCUGUGUAGCUGCUCUCGCGAUUGACGUAUCUACCGCGUAUACGGGGGGUUGCUGCGCGCGCGCGGCUCUCUCUCUUUGAUCUUGAUUUCCGCAGGCGCGGCGGCAUCGGCAGGCUGCUGCAGGCUGUUCGCGCGCGCGAAGGAGCCAAGGUCGUAGCCACGGAUCAAAAUGUCAAGGCCGCCGAGGACACGGUCGCCAGCGCUCGAAGGAUUUUUCCUCUUCUGCUGCGUGUGCGGAGGAUGAUUUUUCGGAUAGCUGUUGCGGGAGAUCGUUAUUCAGCUGCUGUCACCGGGAGCAACGACCUCCUGGAACUACGAGGAUUUCUAACGCAAUGUGCUGCCAAGAAAAUUACGGAUGUAAGUGUAAUGAGUGAUGUUCGAUUUCAGAUUCGUCAAUGGAACUUCGAUCAAGGUCACCGAUGAUGGUGCGCGAAUCAUUACACGACUGGAUACUUUUGAAAACUUUUAAUAAACAAACGUCUUUUGUUCCUUAAUUAUUUAUACAAUUACAAAAUAAUCAUAUUCACCUUAUUCAAUUACAACAUUGCUUACAAUCACUUAUUCUUUCCCUUCUUUUUCAGCUUCUUUGCGUGUUUGUGUGCCUUGUACUGUAGCUUGCGCUUCUCAUCGAUGAUCUCCUUGUACUUUCGUUUGUUGUACUUGGCAAACUGUGCAUCCGCCAUGAGCUCGUCAACGAUUGUACGCUUGCGCUCCUUAUUGGUCAGGCGUCCAUUGUAGAAAUCUAAUGGUGUAUCUACCACUUUACCAAUGUGGAAGUACUUUGGCAAUGCCUUCAUGUCGUUCUUCUUGUAGAAGUGUUUGGGAUCCAAUACUGAUCUCAUCUGGAUGACCUCAAGGUCAUGCUUGACUUCCUCCGUCAUCUCUGGAGCUGGAAGAUUGAACCACUUCUUACCCUUUGUCUUUUCUCGUUCCCUCUUCCUCCUUUCUUUCAAUUUCUUGUCCUUUACAUCAUAACCUGGAACUUUCUUCAGACGUUCAAAGCCUGGCUUGACAACAGCCUUUUUGAGAACGUCGCUAACAGGUGCUAUUUGAUUCGAUAUAACUUUUACUGCUUUAUCCAGUGGAGUUUUCUUGUGUACUGAAACUUUCCAUCCCAUAUCGCGUUCGAAUUGUGACAGAUCAAUGUCGUUAGGGUCGGUUUUUUGUUUUUUCGUUGUGGUCUUCUCUUUUCGCUUUAUGAUUUUUGUUGGGUCCAGCCC